rnacentral:rRNA from 1 species
UACGUAGGUGGCAAGCGUUGUCCGGAAUUAUUGGGCGUAAAGCGCGCGCAGGCGGUCCUUUAAGUCUGAUGUGAAAGCCCACGGCUCAACCGUGGAGGGUCAUUGGAAACUGGGGGACUUGAGUACAGAAGAGAAGAGUGGAAUUCCCGGUGUAGCGGUGAAAUGCGCAGAUAUCGGGAGGAACACCAAUGGCGAAGGCAGCUUGCUGGGACGGUACUGACGCUGAGGCGCGAAAGCGUGGGGAGCAAACAGG